rnacentral:sRNA from 2 species
AUCGACCACUCGUAGACUCCGGUCACUCCGCGUCCCCCUCACGACUGAUCGCUACGUGUUGUUAGCC